rnacentral:ncRNA from 1 species
UUUAAUAAAAGGCAAACCAGUUGAAAAGCUGGGACUGCAAAGCUACAGAUUUAAGGUAGAUAAACUAGGAUGGCUGAGCCGCUGAA